UGAGCAAUCUGCCCUUCUCAUCGGAAUAAGCGUUGGAAACGACGUCUAAUGCCGAAUACGACCUCCUUUCGCAUGAUCGGAGGUGGAAAGCUCCGGCGGAGAAGGAUGAGCUCGCGGCCUAUCAGCUAGUUGGUGUGGGUAAUGGCCCACCAAGGCGACGACGGGUAGCCGGCCUGAGAGGGUGACCGGCCACACUGGGGCUGAGACACGGCCCAGACCUCCUACGGGAGCAG
rnacentral:rRNA from 1 species